ACUGCUGCCUGCCGGACGGUCCUGAAUGACACCGAUAAGUUGUUAGAAAGUUUGUCUUUAAGCUGAAACAAAACGCUUUCAGUAAAUUCUCUCAUUGAAUUUUUUGUUUCAUAAUAAUGACCCGUCUCAUCUGGUCCCUGCUUGUUGAUUGGUUCUCACCAGAACCCAUUAGUGAGGUCCAGUCAGCAGCUGAUCCUGGAAGAAGGGAAGCAGAGGGAGAUAAAACUUGGCAGCCGGUCUGGAACAGAGUGACGUGUUUCCACUGAACCGUCCUCAGGUUUGUUUCCAGUCAUCGGGUCGGAGGUGACGGAGACGAUGAGAGGGAGGAGGACGCUAAUGAGUCCAAGCUGACCCACUGAUGGCCUCUACUGGAGAGAAGGUCCACAUCUCUGAAAGAGCGAACAAAUACGCCGUGUGUGGGACAAAACAAGACGACGGGAUUAAAGAACACCGCCUCCUUAGCAUGAGAACAGCAGGAGAAACAUCUGUCAUCUGGAAACAGCAACAUAAUCCAGAGCCGACCUGAAACAGGACCUGGAUGCCGGCAUCAUCUCCAGGAAUGAUCUUUUAGGGUUUAUUUUGGAUUAAACAAAUGUUGUCUUUGUGA